GCUGUUGCAUCCUGUUUUCUAGCUUUGAUGGCAGGAGAAACACAUGUUCUACUGCCUGAAGUUACAUUUAGAGA
rnacentral:lncRNA from 1 species